GAUGAACGCUGGCGGCGUGCCUAAUACAUGCAAGUCGAGCGAACGGACGAUAAGCUUGCUUCUCUGAUGUUAGGGGAGGAGGGGUGAGUAACACGUGGAUAACCUACCUAUAAGACUGGGAUAACCUCGGGAAACCGGAGCUAAUCCCGGAUAAUAUUUUGAACCGCAUGGUUCAAAAGUGAAAGACGGUCUUGCUGUAACUUAUAGAUGGAUACCCGCUGCUUUAGCUAGUUGGUAAGGUAAAGGGUUUUCAAGGCAACGAUGCAUAGCCGACCUGACAGGGUGAUCGCCCACCCUGGAGCGGAGACGCGGACCAGAGUCCUGCGGGAGGCAGCAGUAGGGAAUCUUCGGCAAUGGGCGAGAGCCUGACGGAGCAACGCCGAGUGAGUGAUGAAGAUCCUCGGAUCGGAAAACUCUGUUAUUAGGGAAGAACAUAUGUGUAAUUAACUGUGCACAUCUUGACGGUACCUAAUCAGAAAGCCACGGCUAACUACGUG
rnacentral:rRNA from 1 species